rnacentral:rRNA from 1 species
CCUACCAAAGCAAAGUUUGGACCUGCGGAAGGAUCAUUA